rnacentral:rRNA from 1 species
UACGUAGGGGGCUAGCGUUGUCCGGAAUCAUUGGGCGUAAAGCGCGUGUAGGCGGCCCGGUAAGUCCGCUGUGAAAGUCGGGGGCUCAACCCUCGGAUGCCGGUGGAUACUGUCGGGCUCGAGUACGGAAGAGGCGAGUGGAAUUCCUGGUGUAGCGGUGAAAUGCGCAGAUAUCAGGAAGAACACCAAUGGCGAAAGCAGCUCUCUGGGACGGUACUGACGCUGAGACGCGAAAGCGUGGGGAGCGAACAGG